rnacentral:rRNA from 1 species
GACGAACGCUGGCGGCGUGCCUAACACAUGCAAGUCGAGCGCGCAGCCAUCGGUAGCAAUACCGGUGGUGGGCGAGCGGCGAACGGGUGCGUAACACGUGGGCAACCUGCCCAGACUCUGGGAUAACCCCGGGAAACCGGGGCUAAUACCGGAUACUCUCGGCCGGCCGCAUGAUCGGCCGAGGAAAGCUCCGACGGUCUGGGAUGGGCCCGCGGCCUAUCAGCUUGUUGGUGGGGUAACGGCCUACCAAGGCGACGACGGGUAGCUGGUCUGAGAGGACGGCCAGCCACACUGGGACUGAGAAACGGCCCAGACUCCUACGGGAGGCAGCAGUGGGGAAUCUUGCGCAAUGGGCGAAAGCCUGACGCAGCGACGCCGCGUGAGGGAUGAAGGUCUUCGGGUUGUAAACCUCUUUCGGCAGGGACGAAGCGAAAGUGAUGGUACCUGCAGAAGAAGCCCCGGCUAACUACGUGCCAGCCGCCGCCGUAA